UGGACGAGUAAAAUCGAAAGCGCUCAGUGUUAAAUCGAUGCAGAAUGCGUUCGUUGAUUUGUAAGUAUAAUUGUUUUUACAAAUUAUUGCUUAUUUUCAAUAUAGGGAGUUCUUACGUUAACCCAUUAUGGCACCAAACCUUGUCACAUACACCUGUAUUUGUACAGGAUGUAUGUGAUGGGGUUGGCACGAUGAUGUCAUUGCACCGGGUACUCGUAUGUGGGUGUAUCUGCAUGUGGGCAGACUCACCUGGAGAUGGGUAGAGGAGCAGUGUCUCAGUUCCUAAGACCAUCAGAAAUAUGUGUUUUCUGAUGGUCUUAGGUGACUCCUGUUGAAAGGGUUGUUCAACCCCCAAAGGGAUCAUGACCUACAGGUUGAAAACCUUUGGCUUAGAUAUACAAAAAAAUCUGAAAUUGUAAAAUAAAACACAGUUCAAAUAUUCGAAAGUAUGAAUUUAUA
rnacentral:lncRNA from 1 species